rnacentral:lncRNA from 1 species
AGUAUCUCCAAAUGGAAAAAAGAACAGAGAGAGAGGUGAAAAGGAGAAAAGGAAGAAGAGGAGGGGAAAAAGGGAGGGCGAAAGAACAAGGAGAGAAGAGGGGGUAUGGAUGACUGGGAGAAGAAGGAAUAAAAGGAAGGGGAGAGCAGGGAAGGGGAGGAAGGGAGGCUUUUGUUGUCUCCUUGGAUUUCCCACUAAAUGCUGGGAACUGGAUGCAGAUUCUGUCUCAGACACUUAGAAGAGAUUCAUCACAUUUAAAGUUCCCUACCUUGUCCUUCUUCCAGGGGUUUGUCAGACACAAGAAGGACCCUGCAGAUUGGCAGCAAAAGCUGAAAGAGUGAAAGCAAGGUCAAAGGUCAGAGCUGGGAUUCCUUAGAAGGAACUGUUUUUCAUCUUCAGCAGGGCCUGGGGUUUGUGAAGACCCAGGAUGAAAGAACCAGGAAGGGGCAGCUUUCCUUUCAGCCUGAAUGAAGGGAGUUGGACCUGCAGGUGUUGUCAAGGAAAGGGGUUUCCAGGCCUACAACUAAAAUGUGAACAAGUUUCUGCCACAUGUUCCUGCUGCCACCAAGCCUUUCCACCAUGCCAUCCCCACCAUGAUGGACUUUCCAUCCAUUGCAUUGCCGGCUGUACCAUGACAACAGUGAGAAGACUGCUAAUAGAAUCUUAUCUUCACAUCUUCCAAAAACCUAGCAUGAGAUGUUGCCCUCUUGUAGCAGAUGGCUCUGGGAUCCACGUCCACACCCCAGUCCCAGCUCUUCUGUUUCAGUGACUCCAGGGAGCUGCUGACCGGUCAUCUCUGGAUGCUGUGUCCCUAGUGCUUCUGAGACUCAUCCCCAAAUCUCUAAGUGGAACGUCCAGCCGCACCCGACUCUUAGCAAAGCCAGAGGUUAGUUAGCUCCGGCUGAAACUUUCUCCUGCUCUCCUGAUGGGAGGAUUGACAGUGAUCCUGGUACCAGGGCCAAUUCUUGCCUGAGAUUCAGCAAGAUGGCACAGAAAGCCUUGCCUUGCC